ACGAACGCUGGCGGCGUGCCUAAUACAUGCCAGUCGAACGAACCGCGACUAGGUGCUUGCACUUGGUCAAGGUGAGUGGCGAACGGGUGAGUAACACGUGGGUAACCUACCUCAUAGUGGGGGAUAACAGUCGGAAACGACUGCUAAUACCGCAUAGGACAUAGGAUCACAUGAUUCUGUGAGGAAAGGUGGCGCAAGCUAUCGCUAAGAGAUGGACCCGCGGUGCAUUAGCUAGUUGGUAGGGUAAAGGCCUACCAAGGCGAUGAUGCAUAGCCGACCUGAGAGCGUGAUCGGCCACAUUGGGACUGAGACACGGCCCAAACUCCUACGGGAGGCAGCAGUAGGGAAUCUUCCGCAAUGGACGCAAGUCUGACGGAGCAACGCCGCGUGAGUGAAGAAGGUCUUCGGAUCGUAAAGCUCUGUUGUUAGAGAAGAACAGCGCAUAGAGUAACUGUUAUGCGUGUGACGGUAUCUAACCAGAAAGCCACGGCUAACUACGUG
rnacentral:rRNA from 1 species